AUUGAACGCUGGCGGCAGGCCUAACACAUGCAAGUCGAACGGUAACAGGAAGCAGCUUGCUGCUUCGCUGACGAGUGGCGGACGGGUGAGUAAUGUCUGGGAAGCUGCCUGAUGGAGGGGGAUAACUACUGGAAACGGUAGCUAAUACCGCAUAAUGUCGCAAGACCAAAGAGGGGGACCUUCGGGCCUCUUGCCAUCGGAUGUGCCCAGAUGGGAUUAGCUUGUGGGUGGGGUAACGGCUCACCAAGGCGACGAUCCCUAGCUGGUCUGAGAGGAUGACCAGCCACACUGGAACUGAGACACGGUCCAGACUCCUACGGGAGGCAGCAGUGGGGAAUAUUGCACAAAGGGCGCAAGCCUGAUGCAGCCAUGCCGCGUGUAUGAAGAAGGCCUUCGGGUUGUAAAGUACUUUCAGCGGGGAGGAAGGGAGUAAAGUUAAUACCUUUGCUCAUUGACGUUACCCGCAGAAGAAGCACCGGCUAACUCCGUG
rnacentral:rRNA from 1 species